UCCGAAUUGGUGUAGUGGCUAACAUUUGACGCUCUCAUGUCUAAACAACGUUGAACCGUCAAGCCCGGGGUUCGAUUCCCCGAUUCGGAG